rnacentral:tRNA from 1 species
UCCCAGGUGGCUCAGAUGGUAAAGCAUCUGCUUACAAUGUGGGAGACCCGGGUUUGAUCCCUGGAUUGGGAA